rnacentral:lncRNA from 1 species
UGUCAUGUAUGAAAACUCAUUUCCAACUAACCCAAAGUCAAAAAGAUUUUCUCUUAUAUUUUCUUCUGGGAAUUUUAUAAUUUUAUGUUUUACAUUUAGGUCUGUGAUCCAUGUUGAGGUAUUUUUCGUAAAAGUUUAAAAAGCAGCUUGAAGCUCAUCCUUUUGCAUAUUGAUGAUGUCGUAAGCAGAAUUCUAACAUGUUCCCCUCAAAAUAUCCCGCCCUAAUCCUUGGGGCUGUGAAUAUUAUUACAUAAUAUACCCUGAUUAUUUUAGUUUACAUGACGUGAGGCAUUAUGCAGAUGUCAUUAAGGUUACUAAUAAGUUGACAUUCAGAUUUAUCAAUAGGACAAUGAUCUUGGCGGGCUUGAUCUAAUUUACUAACUAGAGUACAGUAUUUGUAUGCUUAUUUUUGUCUGUAGCCGUGCAGUAUGCAGACAAAAUGCUAUCUUUCCCAAGCCCUUUAGGAGUAGAAUGUUUUCUCCAUCUGGCGGCAAAAGAGGAAGUCCCAAAGAUUCUAAGCAUGAGAAGGAUUUAACAUGAGGUUUCUCGUGUGAAGAUAGAGGGCUGUACGGGACAAGCGUUGCAGCCGGCCUAUAGAAGCCAGCAAGACAAGGAAACCCCAAUUCUGCAACUUGUGAGGAAUUGGAUUCUGCCAACAACCAUGUGAACGUGAAUGCAGAUUCUUGCCCGGAGUCUCCAGAUGAGGACCCAGUACAGCCAUUUCAACCUUGCAAGUUCUCGGACGAAGUCUAGGUUGUGCUGAGAGGUCCACUGCUGAGCGUGAUCACAGUACAGCACGACAGGACCCCAAGGGAAUCCUUGAUGAUGGCACAUCUCCUGCAGAGGGUGCGCUUGGCACCCAGAAACUGUAACGUCUCGAGUCAGAGGCUCCUCUCCCCAAAUCGGAAGGUUAGAUGGGGCUGGUCACAGCUGGAGAAAACUGCUCACAGAGAUGAUGUCACUGAUGCUGAGUCC